UUUGGGGUAAGGGUUGGUUUGGAUAAGGGGUUAGAGUUAGGUUUUGGGGUAAGGGUUGGUUAGGAUAAGGGGUUAGAGUCAGGUUUUGGGGUAAGGGUUGGGAUAAGGGGUUAGAGUUAGGUUUUGGGGUAAGGGUUGGUUAGGAUAAGGGGUUAGAGUCAGGUUUUGGGGUAAGGGUUAGGAUAAGGGGUUAGAGUCAGCUUUUGGGGUAAAGGUUGGUUAGG